GGGUCAGUAGGUUGGUCGUGCCACCGGUACGUACUGGUCUCACUGAUUCCUCCUUCCUGAAGAACCGUAAUGCCAUUAAUUUGGUGUUGCGGGGAACCAGGACUGUUACUUUGAAAAAAUUAGAGUGUUUAAAGCAAGCUAACGCUUGAAUACAUUAGCAUGGAAUAAUGAAAUAGGACGAUCGAUCCUAUUUUUUUGGUUUCUAGGAUUGUCGUA
rnacentral:rRNA from 1 species